AACGAACGCUGGCGGCAUGCCUAACACAUGCAAGUCGAACGAUGCCUUCGGGCAUAGUGGCGCACGGGUGCGUAACGCGUGGGAAUCUGCCCUUGGCUUCGGAAUAACAGUUAGAAAUGACUGCUAAUACCGGAUGAUGUCCCCCUGAGAGAUCUUGGGGACCAAAGAUUUAUCGGCCAGGGAUGAGCCCGCGUAGGAUUAGGUAGUUGGUGGGGUAAAGGCCUACCAAGCCGACGAUCCUUAGCUGGUCUGAGAGGAUGAUCAGCCACACUGGGACUGAGACACGGCCCAGACUCCUACGGGAGGCAGCAGUGGGUAAUAUUGGACAAUGGGGGGAACCCUGAUCCAGCAAUGCCGCGUGAGUGAUGAAGGCCUUAGGGUUGUAAAGCUCUUUUACCAGGGAUGAUAAUGACAGUACCUGGAGAAUAAGCUCCGGCUAACUCCGUG
rnacentral:rRNA from 1 species